UACAGAGGAGCCAAGCGUUGUCCGGAUUGACUGGGCGUAAAGCGCACGCAGGCGGUUGCGCGCGUGGGGUGUGAAAUCUGGCCGCUUAACGGCCAGGCGCCAUCCCAUACGGCGCGACUGGAGUGAUGCAGAGGUCGAUGGAAUUGCCGGUGUAGUGGUGAAAUGCGUAGAUAUCGUCUGGAACGCCAAAGGUGAAGACAGUCUGCUGGGGACUUGCUGACGCUGAGACACGAAAGCCAGGGGAGCGAACGGG
rnacentral:rRNA from 1 species